CAGGUGACUCCGAGCUCGCGGCGCUCGGGCCGGUUGUGACGUCAGACGCGCCCAGGCUCCUCACUCGCUCCUUGGCAGGUGCGGCGCCACUUGUGCAGUCUCGUCUGAUCCCAGCGGGUCCGGGCCGAACCAGUGCCUAGCAGGUUCGAAGAGAAGAGAGUGUAUGUGGUGGAAGACCAAAGAAGGGAUGACCUGGGCCCAUCUACCUGCCUCACAGCCUGCUGGACUGCCCUCUGUUGCUGCUGUCUCUGGGAUAUGCU